UACAGAGGCCUCGAGCGUUGUUCGGAAUUACUGGGCGUAAAGGGAAUGUAGGCGGUGACGUAAGUCAGAUGUGAAAGCCCUGGGCUUAACCCGGAACUGCAUUUGAUACUGUGUCGCUAGAGUGCGAGAGAGGAAAGCGGAAUUCCAGGUGUAGGGUGAAAUCCGUAGAUAUCUGGAGGAAUACCGAUGGCGAAGGCAGCUUUCUGGCUCGUAACUGACGCUGAGAUUCGAAAGCGUGGGUAGCAAACAGG
rnacentral:rRNA from 1 species